GAGGUCCACGAGGAGCUUACAAUCCAAGUUGUUUGUGCGCUGAUUUGCAGCGAAAAAACAAAAAAAGAAAAGAAUAUGGAGGAGAGAAUGGUUGGGGAGAUGUGGCAACAAGGAUUGUCUGUUCUGCAGAGAGAGUUGGAGAGUUAACAACAUCAACAACAUUUGAUGUGGCUGCUUGCGGUGUAAAUUAGUUUCCUGUGGGUAAUGCUGCUGCCUGGUGGGGAAGAAAUCCUGAGUUCCAGAUCCUUUCAUAUAUGACACUUUAUUCAUUCAGUGAUCAUUAUGCUGAGAAAAAAACAAGCAUUUAUAUUGGAAAAGUAUAUUAUUUUGACUAAGAGAAAAUGAAAAGAAAAAUAAUAAAAAGAAAUAAUAUGAUGUUAAAAUUUUAUUUAACAUAAGCCUAAAGUCAACAGCAAUCCAUUUUGCAAUAGAGUUCACCAAUCUGAAAUGUUCUCACAGGAUGCAUUCUUGCAUUCUGCCUAUAUACACUGAAAACAAUUUUUUUUUGUGGUAUAGUAAAUAUACCAGAAAAGAUUAAGUACUUUCUACAAUAAAUAAGUUAGUUUAACCGUGAACUUGAAAAUAUUAAGUAAUUCUACAUUCAAACAUGUGAAAAUGAAUGAUUUAGCUUAUAGGUAAAAAUAUUUAUCUUAACAGUGGGU